rnacentral:rRNA from 1 species
GAUGAACGCUGGCGGCGUGCCUAAUACAUGCAAGUCGAACGCUGAAGGAAGGAGCUUGCUCUUUCCGGAUGAGUUGCGAACGGGUGAGUAACGCGUAGGUAACCUGCCUGGUAGCGGGGGAUAACUAUUGGAAACGAUAGCUAAUACCGCAUAACAGUAGAUGUUGCAUGAUAUCUUCUUAAAAGGUGCAAUUUCACCACUACCACAUGGACCUUCGGUGUAUUAGCUAGUUGGUGAGGUACCGGCUCACCAAGGCGACGAUACAUAGCCGACCUGAGAGGGUGGGCGGCCAGACUGGGACUGAGACACGGCCCAGACGGACACAGGAGGCAGCAGGAGUGAUACGGGAGGAAGGGGCGGAAGACAGACCGAACAACGCCGAAGGAGGGAAGAAGGUUGUCGGAUCGGAAAGGACGGUUGUAAGGGAAGAAAGAGUGUGGGAGUGGAAAGUACACACUGUGACGGUAACUUACCAGAAAGGGACGGCUAACUACGUG